AAUAGAUAGGAACGUACCAAGGAGUGGGGGAUAACCGCGGGAAACCACGGCUAAUACCGCAUGACAUCGUAAGAUCAAAGGUGGCCUCUACAUGUAAGCUAUCGCUUUUUGAUCGGCCUAUCUCCCAUUAGCUAGUUGGCAGGGUAAAGGCCUACCAAGGCGACGAUGGGUAGCUGGUCUGAGAGGACGGCCAGCCACACUGGAACUGAGACACGGUCCAGACUCCUACGGGAGGCAGCAGUGGGGAAUCUUGCACAAUGGGCGCAAGCCUGAUGCAGCAACGCCGCGUGGGUGAAGAAGGCUCUUGGGUCGUAAAGCCCUUUCGAUUAGGAAGAAGGGUGUACGUAUAAAUAAUGCGUAUGCUUGACGGUACUAGAAGAAGAAGCACCGGCUAACUCCGUGCCAGCAGCCGCGGUAAUACGGAGGGUGCGAGCGUUGUUCGGAAUGACUGGGCGUAAAGAGCACGUAGGCGGGCAUUUAAGUCGGAUGUGAAAUCCCCAGGCUUAACCUGGGAACUGCAUCUGAAACUGGAUGUCUUGAAUGCCUGAGGGGUUGAUGGAAUUCCAGGUGUAGGAGUGAAAUCCGUAGAUAUCUGGAGG
rnacentral:rRNA from 1 species